rnacentral:sRNA from 1 species
CCCUAGCCCCGAUUGUAAUGAAAAUCCUUUUAUGUUUUUUCUUUAAAAACAUAAAAGAUUAUAAUGAAAAGCGGGAAAUAGC